UACGUAGGCAGCGAGCGUUGUUCGGAAUUAUUGGGCGUAAAGAGCUCGUAGGCGGUUUGUCGCGUCUGCUGUGAAAACCCGAGGCUCAACCUCGGGCCUGCAGUGGGUACGGGCAGACUAGAGUGCGGUAGGGGAGAAUGGAACUCCUGGUGUAGCGGUGGAAUGCGCAGAUAUCAGGAAGAACACCGAUGGCGAAGGCAGUUCUCUGGGCCGUAACUGACGCUGAGGAGCGAAAGCGUGGGGAGCGAACAGG
rnacentral:rRNA from 1 species